GUUUACUGAGUCAGAUUACGGAUAAAACAUGGAGGAAAGUGGAUCAGAAAAGUCAACCAGAGAAAAAAAAGACAUAUCCUUUGAAGAUGCUUACAUUCCUUUUGAAGAAGAAAUACUACGUCAUCCUUACAGUGUAAAGUGCUGGAUAAAGUACAUUGAACACAAACAGAUUAAGAGUGACCACGCCCACUCAUCAGCAGUCAACCUAAUAUAUGAGAGAGCACUAAGAGUAUUACCAGGAAGGUAUAGAAUAGUAUUUAUAUUUAUGCUUUGUUGUGUUAAGGGGGCGAUUUUAAUUUAUUAUAAAUAAUCUGCUUUCAUUGUAAAAAUUAAAACUGUCCUAAAUGACAAAAUUAGUAAAACAAACUACUUCCAGUA